AUUUAACUGCUGGUGGGAGCCAGAGAAUGCUAAGGAGUUAACUGCUGGGGGGAGGGAGAAGCCUUAGAAUGAUAAUCAAAAAAAGUAGGAGAGAAAUUUCCAGGAACAAAAAUUUUCAUCCUUUGAAAGAGAAAAAAGUUAGGUAGAAGAGUGAGAGAGAAAGAAGGACACAGACAAUUUCACCCUUCUUUCUCCAGAGUGCUCACAGGAAUAUUCUGAAAUACCUGAGAAGUAAAAGCUGGACUAUUUGUCUCAAGCAAAGAGCUUAGGCAGACUAUUAGCAAGUACCUUGAUGCCUCCAGAGCCGCUUCAGUUCUUCAGGGAAAAAUUUUUACCCAGUUAGUUAAAGUGUUAAACAAAACCAAAAGCAGUUUGAAACCCCCUGCAAGGGGGUGUUUGUGUAGAAUCUAUUUGUCUUCCCCUGGGUAUGGGAUCCCUUCUCUGAACUGGCUUCAGGAGAGAGGGGAGUAGCCUCAAAGUCGGUUCACUGAGAUCAGUGAGGAAAAAGAAGACUGACUCCCAUCAGACAAAACACAGCAUCCUCAAGAAAGUUGAAAUCACAGGAGUCUCUCUUUGCAUGGAAAAAGAAUGUGCUCAAAGAGAAGCCAACCCAGAACUUGAGAAGAUCAGUGAUGGGGAGUUCUUAAACUCAACAAAUAGGGUCUUAAAACUGAUCAGAGACCAACUAUCCUGGGAAUGGAUUCUUCCAGCUUUGGGAUUUGCUCAUGAGAAAAAUAUGUGAAAGAAAAUAUUUAGAGAUGGGGCUAUAAAGGUAUGUUGAAAUGGGUAGAACGACUGAAUCAAGUUAUAAUUAUUCAAAAGACAAUGGGGUAGAUUAUUCUUAAUUCAAGAUUUCUCAAGUUCAACAGUUCCUAUAAAAUCUUCAGAGGAAGAAUAGUUUCUUGACUGCUUGCAAUUUGGAGAAGGAAGACAUAGCCACAGCAUGAUGAGGCAGGGAAUUGGGACCUUGUCAACCUUCCCCAAUAUUGCUCUGAGUUGUUUAGAUGGUACAGAGCUCAGGUUAAUGAAAAGUAUUUAUUUAGUUGUUUUUUAAUUUAGUUGCUGUUUAGUUAUAGGUUAAUUGUAUUUAGUUUAAUUGUAAUUUAGUUAGACCUCAAAAAAAUAGAGGUCACUACCUCCUGGUAAUAUAUAAUGAAUGUAAUGGUCUACUUGAGAAUUUUCAGUUUCCUGUAUUAAGGCAUGCAUGAGGGUCCUUUCUCUGCAUCAUGCAUUUUUUGUGGUAAAAGGAAAAAAAAUUUUCUCAUACCCAAUAUUUAGAUUUUACAUCUAGACACUGGGUACCUUUGUGGUAAUGGGACACUAUUACCCACAUAGGAAGAAACCCAUAGCACAGAAAUAGUAAGCUAGAGCCAAAGGAAAAACUAUCUUAUCUCUGGGCUAAGAUUUCAUAAUUGGUCUCUGUAAGCCUAUGAGGUACAUAGGUAUAUAUAUGUGUGUACAAAGCCAUAGGCCAUAUGUAUGUGUUUCUUCUUUCCUUGUUAUAAAUUUCUUGAUAGAGGACUUAUAUAAUUGUUGUUGUUCUUCUUCAAUAACAUUUGAUUUUUCAUAACCCUAUAUGGGGUUUUCU